AUUGAACGCUGGCGGCAUGCCUUACACAUGCAAGUCGAACGGUAACAGGUCUUCGGAUGCUGGCGAGUGGCGAACGGGUGAGUAAUACAUCGGAACGUGCCUAGUAGUGGGGGAUAACUACUCGAAAGAGUGGCUAAUACCGCAUGAGAUCUACGGAUGAAAGCAGGGGAUCGCAAGACCUUGUGCUACUAGAGCGGCCGAUGGCAGAUUAGGUAGUUGGUGGGAUAAAAGCUUACCAAGCCGACGAUCUGUAGCUGGUCUGAGAGGACGAUCAGCCACACUGGGACUGCGACACGGCCCAGACUCCUACGGGAGGCAGCAGUGGGGAAUUUUGGACAAUGGGCGCAAGCCUGAUCCAGCAAUGCCGCGUGCAGGAUGAAGGCCUUCGGGUUGUAAACUGCUUUUGUACGGAACGAAAAGCCCCGGGUUAAUACCCUGGGGUCAUGACGGUACCGUAAGAAUAAGCACCGGCUAACUACGUGCCAGCCGCCGCCGUAA
rnacentral:rRNA from 1 species